rnacentral:rRNA from 1 species
GGGGGGGGGGGGGGGGGGGGGGGGGGGGGGGGGGGGGGGGGGGGGCGGCGGUGCGUGCUUGCGCGCUUUGGGCGUCGACCGGCGCCGGGGUGAGUGGCGCGUAUCCAACCGUCCCAUUACUGUGGGAGAACCUGCCGCAAGGCAGACUACUACCGCAUAGUCUUCGAUGACGGCCUCCUAUUUGAAGUAAAGAUUUAUCGGUAACGUGUGGGGAUGCGUCUGAUGAGCUUGUUGGCCGGGUAACGGCCCACCAAGGCUACGAUCAGUAGGGGUUCUGAGAGGAAGGUCCCACACAUUGGAACUGAGACACGGUCCAAACUCCUACGGGAGGCAGCAGUGAGGAAUAUUGGUCAAUGGAAGGAAGUCUGAACCAGCCAAGUAGCGUGCAGGAUGACGGCCCUAUGGGUUGUAAACUGCUUUUGUAUGGGGAUAAAGUUAGGGACGUGUCCCUAUUUGCAGGUACCAUACGAAUAAGGACCGGCUAAUUCCGUG